rnacentral:sRNA from 1 species
GCUGGGUGCAGUGGUGCAUUCCUGUAAUCCCAGAAACUUGGGAGGCUGAGGCAGGCAGGAUCAUGAGUUCAAGGCCAGCCUCAGCAAUUUAGGAAUGCCCUGAGCAACAGAGAGAGAUCCUGUCUCAA